CAGCCAAUUGUCUUUUAAGAUCUUCAAUAUGUUUUUCCAGUUUAUUAGCAACAGACUUGGUCUCUUUGUAAUUUGCAACCAGCACAUCCAGAUCUACCUUUUGUUUCUGAUAAUCUGCCAAGUUGGUUUCAUGAGUGGUCUUACAGAACUUAGAAGCAUUGAAGGAGGGCUUGAGAUAUUCAUAACGGUUGUGAAGGUUGAGG
rnacentral:lncRNA from 1 species